UUUCAAAGUCAAUGUUUGUGUUAACGUUUUCAUCCAACAUUUCUAUCUUAAUUUUUACAAAUGUUUUGUUGCUAAUGUUCAUGAUUUAUCUUGAGACAAUAGGCCACACCUACUUGACACAAGCAACUUCUGGUUGAACGACAAAUGAAAUCAACACCAUUGACUGAAUAUUGAACUUGCAGCUUAAUUUCAACUUGAAAGAAAUUUAUGGAGUUGGAUGAAGGAAAAGUUGAACAGAAAAUUGCUGUUAAAGCAGCAAUAAUGGAAAUGAGACAUUGUAGAUGUUUGGGAGGAUUUGACUUAGUUAGUCUCCUGGAGCCAUUGGCACUUUAUUUACAUCAUUGCUGCUGAUGGAUGACAUAGAGGGAUGGCAAUAGCAUGUGGAGACUGUCAUGUUUGUUACUGGAAAUAGAUUAUACAUCACUUACACUUACGUUGACCGUCCUCUGAUUAAUGAUUCUAUUGAUAGUGUGUAAAUGAACGGACAUGACAGCAAGCAGACAAUAGGUGGGAAGAUUGCUGAUAUGAGUGGACAAGCAAUUGGUAGUGUUAGUCAUCUUGGCAUUAUGCAUGCCGCCAUCGUAUUCUGUUGAUGUGGAGUGCAUUGGAAGCAAGGGAGAACCGGGUGUUCCUGGAGUUCCUGGUCCUCCAGGAAGACAGGUGAGUGAUGGAUGUAGAAUAUAUCUAUUGAGGUACUAGUCAUUACGAUAGAAAAUGUAUGGGAG